CCUACGGUGGGCAGCAGUGAGGAAUAUUGGUCAAUGGGCGGGAGCCUGAACCAGCCAAGCCGCGUGAGGGAAGAAGGUACAGCGUAUCGUAAACCUCUUUUGUCAGGGAACAAAGGCGGGGACUAGUCCCCGGAUGCGGGUACCUGAAGAAAAAGCAUCGGCUAACACCGUGCCAGCAGCCGCGGUAAUACGGAGGAUGCGAGCGUUAGCCGGCUUGAUUGGGUUUAACGGUGGCGCAGUGGGCCUGUUCAGUCAGCGGUAAAAGCCCGGGGCUCAACCCCGGCGCGCCGUUGAAACUGGCGGGCUGGAGUUGGAGAGAGGUACGCGGAAUGCGCGGUGUAGCGGUGAAAUGCUUAGAUAUCGCGCAGAACCCCGAUUGCGAAGGCAGCGUACCGGCUCCACACUGACGCUGAGGCACGAAAGCGUGGGUAUCGAACAGGAUUAGAUACCCCUGUAGUC
rnacentral:rRNA from 1 species